rnacentral:rRNA from 1 species
GACGAACGCUGGCGGCGUGCCUAAUACAUGCAAGUAGAACGCUGAAGCUUGGUGCUUGCACCGAGCGGAUGAGGGGCGAACGGGUGAGUAACGCGUAGGUAACCGGCCUGGUAGCGGGGGAUAACUAUUGGAAACGAUAGCUAAUACCGCAUAAGAGGAGAUGUUGCAUGACAUUUGCUUAAAAAGGGCAAUUGCAUCACUACCAGAUGGACCUGCGUUGUAUUAGCUAGUUGGUGAGGUAAGGGCUCACCAAGGCAACGAUACAUAGGCGGCCUGGGAGGGUGGUCGGCCCACCUGGGACUGAGACCACGCCCAGGCUCCUUCGGGGGGCAGCAGUAGGGAAUCUUCGGCAAUGGACGGAAGUCUGACCGCGCAACGCCGCGUGAGUGGAGAAGGGUUUCGGAUCGUAAAGCUCUGUUGUAAGGGAAGAACGAGUGUGAGAGUGGAAAGUUCACGCUGUGACGGUACCUUACCAGAAAGGGACGGCUAACUACGUG